rnacentral:pre_miRNA from 1 species
CAUGCACUGGUGGGGUCCCUCUGCCUGGCCUGUGCCCUCUCACAAUCCAGGGCCCCUCCGGGAAUGUCGAAGAGCUGGUUUCAUCUGAAUCACCACAGGCCAGGCUGAGGGACCCCACCGGUGCAUG